GUGGGGAAUUUUGGACAAUGGGCGCAAGCCUGAUCCAGCAAUGCCGCGUGCAGGAAGAAGGCCUUCGGGUUGUAAACUGCUUUUGUACGGAACGAAACGGUCCGGGUUAAUACCCUGGGCUAAUGACGGUACCGUAAGAAUAAGCACCGGCUAACUACGUGCCAGCAGCCGCGGUAAUACGUAGGGUGCAAGCGUUAAUCGGAAUUACUGGGCGUAAAGCGUGCGCAGGCGGUUUUGUAAGACAGGCGUGCAAUCCCCGGGCUCAACCUGGGAAUUGCGCUUGUGACUGCAAGGCUGGAGUGCGGCAGAGGGGGAUGGAAUUCCGCGUGUAGCAGUGAAAUGCGUAGAUAUGCGGAGGAACACCGAUGGCGAAGGCAAUCCCCUGGGCCUGCACUGACGCUCAUGCACGAAAGCGUGGGGAGCAAACAGGAUUAGAUACCCGAGUAGUCC
rnacentral:rRNA from 1 species